rnacentral:misc_RNA from 1 species
AAGUCGUAACAAGGUUUCCGUAGGUGAACCUGCGGAAGGAUCAUUACGCAUAGGGACUGGCAGCCGAGUCCCCACCUAGCGAAAAUUAGGUGGGUAAGGUGCGCCAGCAACCCCCGCCGCAUAGCUAUGACUGGCCGCCCGGCCACCUGCCCUUUGAGCACCAUUUCGUUUCCUCGGCGGGCUUGCCCGCCACUGGGGACCCUCAAAACCUUUUGUAAUGAGAAGUAACAGUAUCAUAAAAAAUUUAUCACAA